GUGGGGUCCCUGAGCCCUGGGAUGUCUGUGCCUCUCCCCUGUGAGAUGGGAAAUGUUCUGCUAUAAAGCAGCACGAGGGGAAAAAACAAUUUGCAUUGGGCUUUGUUUAAUUUAUCCUUGAGCUGUGAGUCUUGAGUACAUUUCCCAUCACGAUAUCUGAGACAACUCUGAAGAUUCUUAUUCUGGGAUCAGUUUUAUCCUGAAGUGGCACCCGCUUAACACAGAAACUCCCGUGCUUUUAGCUGAAUAAAGGUCAAACAAUCAGAUGUCUGGACAGACAGCUCAUUUAUCAGGAGAGACCACACGCCAAGCACUAAUCUGCGGCGCCGCUCGAGGACCACACCACAAAAGGUUAAUGGAUGCAGAGGACUGGAUUCGUCUCAGCAGCGCGUAAUGCUGCUCGGAGCAGACAUUUCCAUUUUUACUCAGUUUAGUGGAUGGGUAUAGAACUGAUUUUCAGUUCUAAUUGCCCCAUUUAGGACGGCCGCCAGGAAACAUCUCACUGGGGUCAAGACUGCCCUUUUUGAGAAAUCUUCUCUCUGAUUAUCUGCAAGAAAAAAAAAGUGCUCCUGAUGGAAGCUGAGCUGUGAAUUAGCAGAGUACAGAUCCCUUCAAGUCCCAGGCAGUCGUGUGCCUCCAGACCAGCCCUGCUCUGUGUAAGGACAACGAGAGGUGACGCGUGACCCACCCCACUGUGUGGCACCUGGAGUGAUGUUGGCUGCCUCUGUCUGGUCAGUGGCUGCUCCUGUAGGUCAUUGUUGUCCCCUGACUGAGCACGGAGGUCCAGGGCCAGGCAGGUCAGUGAGCCCAGGAGGAGCUGGGCAGGGGGUGCUGCCUGCCCACCUGCAGCUGGUGAGUAUAGGGCCUUCUGGGAUAGGAGGAGGUGACCAAGGGGCUCCACUCAGCUUCGGGAGCUCUGGGAGGAGCAUUCUGGACAGAACCCUCUGUUCGGGAGUGUGGAAUACGGCGGUGGCGCACCUGUGCCCUGCCAUCACUGGAGAGGCAGGGCGGUGGGGAUGCCUGCCAUGGCCCUGGGCACCUUGGGUGUCACCUCAAGGGCCUGAGAGCACUGGGGGGGGGCCUCCCGGGGGCUGCUGGGUGCUGUCAGGUGGAGUCUGGGCCCCGCAGGGUUGGAGAGGACCAGGUGGGGCCCCCAUAGUGGGUCCUUCCUCUGAGGCCCCAAUUUCCUGACCUGUAAACUGACCUUGGGCUUCUAUUCCAGGUGCAGAGGGCCAGCCAGUUGCUCCGACACAGCGAUCCCGAGUGUGCCCUGUCCAGGCCUGUGGCAUUGUCCUGGUGACCAGUGUCAUGGGGCCAUGCCCACUCAGAGCCAGUACUGGAUGGGGAAGAAGCAAACAGAAGAUGCCCUGGGUCCGAUGUGGGUCCUGGGGUAGCAGAUCCUAUCAAAGGAAUUGAUUGCUGCCCUGAAAUCUAUGGAGAAGGCUGAUUUGAAUCAUUAUGUUGCUCCAUUGCGGUCAGAUGCACUGGCAGUGGCUCCGAGGUUUUCAGGCAAGACCGGACUGCAAACGAAGAUUCCUGAUCCCACCUGGCCCUUGUAGCUAAAUGAUUCAUUCUUCUCGAGGACCCAGGGACGCUCGAUCACCUUCUCAGAGCUGUCAUCCAAGGUCCAGGCUAAUGGAUGGGAUUACCAAGGGGCGGAGGUCUGAGGGUCUCCAUACUCAAGGAGGGAGAGUCACGGGGUCCCCCCCCUUCCUGAAGGGCCGUGCUCCCAUGAAUUGGAAAAGAAAAUGAGCACAGAAGAGACACUUGGUGCCAUUCAAUUACCUGCCUGGUGGAGUGGGGUGUGUUGUUUCAGAACACAUUCUCACUGUAAUGCACUUCAGAUUUGGGAACAAGCACUAGCUGGGAGCUGGUUCUGUAGCCCCUACAUAUGGAGGAGGUGCUACCUGUUGUCUCAGCUGUGGAGCCCUGGGCCCCCUCUUCCUGGUGACCACAUCCCCAAAUCCUCGUAACAACUGCCCAGAUCCAGUGCAAAAGUGCAUCUUGUGCUUUGGAAGUUCUAAGAAGGUAGCUUUUGAUGCAGAAAAUGAACCAAGUAACACAGCAGGCUAAUCCAACCUUGAAGACCUGGGUACAUGGAGUCUAGGGUUUAGUUCCAGCAAUGCCCCUACAGGGCAUUUCUGGACAGGAAGUCAGUGUGUUGGAGGCAUUGGAUUCUGGUGACUAUUCACAGUCACCAAGAAAUGGCAUUGACCUGAAGGUCCACCCAUGGAUAGGUGGGUGAAGAAAAUGCUGUAUGUGAUCCCAGCACUCUGAGUGGCUAAGGUGGGAGGAUUGAACAUUUGAGCUUGGGCAACUUAGAGAGACCAGUUUCAAAAUAAGAAAAAAAAAUAAAGGGUUGGGGAUGUAGCUCAGUGCAAAAAGCCUUGGGUUCAGUCCCCAGUACUGAAAAAGAAGAAAAAAAAAAAAGAAAAGAAAAGAAGGAAAGGGAAAGAAGUGGUACAUACUGUGGAAUACUAUGCAGCCCUAGCAAGAAAGAAGCCAGCAUGUCGAGCAGCCUGAAUGAGCCUGGGUAGGAGGUGCUGGGGGAACAGGCCCACCCACCACAGUAGUACGCAUCCCGUAUGGCCCCCACUCCGGCACGGAACUGGAAGAGCUGCACUCAGAGCCGGGGAGACUGGGGGUCACUGGGCAAGGUGGGCAGGGGAAGACGUGGUGCUGGUCAGAGGACCAAAGGUUUCGGUGGGCCAGGAGGAGAAGCGCUCAGCCUUGGAAACACGAGUCCAGUGUCCCCACAUUGUAC
rnacentral:lncRNA from 1 species